UGCGAAAUAGCUAGAAAACUUUCGAUUUCAACUUGGCUGCACCUAAGGUUAUGAGAACGAUAAAUCAAGUGCAAUACCUGCGUCGACCUGUGACGAGCAGCAAAACACCGGAAAGCUUCUAGCCUACCGGAAAGUUACAAGAAGAACAAGAAUGGUUACCUCAUCCGGUCAUGUGACAUUUGUUUAUAGAUUUUUCGCCCACACCAGAUGUCUGGACCCUGGACAGAUAACAGAAAUGCACAUUGCCACUCAAUCUGUAUUCAUCUUGUGACAUCUCCUUGGAAGAAGGAGAGAGGGACCCUAAGAGGAACCCUAGGAGGGACAUAAAGGAAUUGAUGAAAUCCUGAUAAGACAGACAAUCAGAUGGUAUGGCCUCUGAGGACCCCCAAGACCAACUGUAUGAGGCUAUUAAAAAGGUAGAACGCCUUGCUGAGGAGCUCAACCAAGAGGACCCACAAGCCCAACUGGAUGAGGCCAUUAAUGAGGCAAAAAGGCUGGCUGAGGAGCUCAACCCAGAACAGGAAAAUAAGAAGAAAAAGACAAACAAGGGAUUAGGUUCAGAUGGAGACAAAGGGAUGAGAGAGGACAGAUUGUUCCUCAAACCAGGAAGGCAACUACAUCCACUUCUCUUGCUCCAAGGGCUAGUACAUCAAGAGCCAGACUAGUGCAACAUUUUGGGCCAGUCACUGAGGAGGAAGAAUCAGAUCUUAUUUUAGAGACAAGGACCAGUGGAUUGGAAUCCACUCCAGUUUAAACAUUUAUGAAGAAAUAGAUAUGUUUAAAUUGUUUUACUUUCAAAAUUGGGGUCAUCUUGGUGUUACUGAAUUAUACAGCACUACAUCUUUAUUUUGACAGUGAUGCAACAUUUUUAAAUGUGGCUCAAGUCUCCUGAAUUUCAGAUUUGAGAUCAAAUGUUUGAUAUGAGGUUACAGUACAGAAUGUCACCUUUUAUUUCAGGGCAUUUUCAGACUUUUCUGAUUUACCGUUUGGAAAUGAAAGCACUUUAUAUGUCUAGUCCACCCCCUCCCCCCAUUUGAAGAUGUCAAGUAUUUGGACACAUAUCACUUAGUGGGUUAAAGUUGUCAAAUGUGUAGUAUUUGGUCCCAUAUUCCUUGCACACAAUGACUACAUCAAGAUCUUCUAUUCUUACUUACAAUAAAAGUGACUACAUAAUGACACAUUAUUCACCAUUCAGUUCCUAUUGGGCACAAUAUAAUCUGAAACACAACCAAACAAGCUGUACAAGUUUGUAGAUUCACAAGCUUAAUGUAGUCAUUGUGUUCUAGGAAUAUGGGCCCAAAUACUAAACAUUUGACAACUUUAAUACAUACAUGAAAUGUGUCUAAAUACUUAUGACAUCGUCAAAUGGUGGGGCUAGUUGCAAGUUUUAUUAGUCGUAUGUACAGGAUACUGAUGGUAACACCAUCCAACGAAAUGCUUGCUUGCAGGUUGCUUCUCGACAAUGCAAUUCAAAAUGCUGGAGUAUAGAGACUAAUUCAACAUUUUAGCAUCACUGUCCAAAUUCUUCUGUAGGAGAGUGUAAUAACAACAUCCUGGCAGAGAUUUCUCCUGCACAUUUCCUUUAAUAUGAAGCAAUCUGCCAUUCCACAUUAUGGAAUUAAUCUUAGUUGAAUUCAUUCAAAUCCACUAUUGUAAGGUUUACACAGUGUCGUUCCUUUUGCAACCACUGUCUGUAAUUGUGGAAGCUGGAAGCAUUUGCCUUUGGUCUUCCCUGUGGCUCAGUUGGUAGAGCAUGGUGUUUGCAACUCCAGGGUUGUGGGUUCGAUUCCCACGGGGGGCCAGUGCGGAGAAAUAAAAAGAAAAAAAAAAAUGUAUGAAAUGAAAUGUAUGCAUUCACUACUGUAAGUCGCUCUGGAUAAGAGCGUCUGCUAAAAUGACUAAAAUGUAAGGAGAGUUUACUCUGUAGUCAAAAUACACUGAGUGUACAAAAUAUUCCUAAUAUUGAGUUGCACUCCCUUUUGCCCUCAGAACAGCCUCAAUUCGUCAGGGCAUGGACUCUACAAGGUGUCGAAAGCAUUCCACAGGGAUGCCGGCCCAUGUUGACUCAAAUGCUUCACACAGUUGUGUCAAGUUGGCUGGAUGUCCUUUGGGUUGUGGACCAUUCAUGAUAUACACAGGAAAAUGUUGAUCGUGAAAAACCCAGCAGCGUUGCAGUUUUUGACACAAACCGUUGGACCUGGCACCUACUACCAUACCCCGUUCAAAGGCACUUAAAUAUUUUGUCUUGCCCAGUCAUCCUCUGAAUGGCAGACAUACACAAUCCAUGUCUCAAUUGUCUCAAGGCUUAAACAUCCUCCUUUAAUCUGUCUCCUCCUCUUUAUGUACACUGAAAUGGAUUUAGCAGGUGACAUCAAUAAGGGAUCAUAGUUUUCACCUGGUCAGUUUGUCAGGGAAAGAUAAUUUUUUGUACACUCAGUGUGUUUUUGCUGUUUUAAGAACAUUCAGGAUUUCUAUUCGACGAUGGGAUCAAGUUCUAUUGUUUGAUAUUCCAAUUUAGACUUUACUCAAUAUUUUGGUCUGCCCUGUAAUUGAAUUUACUGUAGAAUCAGAGUUUUUGGCUUGUCACACCAUAGAUUGUGCAGAGAUAUAUUUGCUUUCACCUACUUACAUCCCUAUGUGCAUUUUAAUAGAGUCAUUAUAUAUAUUUUUUAUUUAAUAAUUUUCCCAUUUUUAUUGUGUUUUCAAAAAAGCAAUACUUCAACGAGAAAUUAACAUCCUCCUAGCUGACUUAGAAGACCCUGAGUGUGCAAAUCCUGCUGUGCCUGAUGCAUCAUACAAUUGGAAUGUGAGGAAGGAACUCUCACAGGAUAGGUGGAGGGAGUCCAGGCCUGAGAUCGUAGAUUCACUGCUGGCUGCAGAGAAUGCUUCUCAGAAGAUCUGUCAGUCAUGCAAUGUGAAAAGGGCUAUUCUGCGAUGUAGAGACUGUCUGCCGAAACAGCUUUACUGUGAAGACUGCGAUGUCUCUACACAUGCAAAGUUCCCCCUGCACAACAGAGUCCAUGAUCGAGGGAUUCUACACACCCCUUCCUCCAACCACAGCCAUAUCUCUCCACAGUGAUGGCAAAUAUGCACUUCACGAACAGGAUUGUUUCUUACCAUUGGACGUACCAGAGGUGAUAUGUGGUUGCCUGACAAGCACCAUCCUUGUUGGCCCUGGGAAACAUAUAAUCCUCGUAGGAAUAAAUGGUCGCUACAAUGUCACAGUGCCUGUGCUGACCUGCACAACCUGUCUCAGCACCUGGACAGCAAACUUGGCAGAUCUGAUAAAGAAUAGGUACUGGCCUGCCACUGUCAACUGUGACACCAUUUACCAGAGAUCUGAGAAGCUCUUUUGAGGAGCUGAAAGUGUCAGCCCCAGGAAUGUCCCGGCUGGUGUUUAUGCGGAUUUUGGAGCAGCGAACUGAUUUCUUUGGCAGGAACAGAAUGAUCUGUGGGGACACUUUUCAAAAAAGCUUCUUUGAGUGGAUGUACUGCCGCUCUGUAAUUGAUCAAGUCUGCGAUCUGUUCCCCCGGAAUGCUUGCAGUGUUUGUAGAUGGGAACAAGAAGCUGUAUCGAUUCAAAAAAGGGGUUAUGGAAAAGGGGUAUGUGGAGCAUCCCAGUGGACAGCAGCUAAAGAGUCGUCAAGGAAAACAAAAGACAAACUUGAUGAAGAGGGACUCACAGUUGCUGUUUGCCGCCACGAAUACUUCUGAGGAGCCUCAACAUGAUGCGUAGAGAGAUCUUUGCGUACCCACUGUUCUUGCAGAAGGAAUUGUCUGGCAGCAGGAACAUACAAUUCAUGUGUACGGAUGUGAUCUGCAACUUUUGACCAUACUUAACCAAACAGAACCUCUACCGUCAGACAGAUGGAUGCAAGAAAAGAUACCAUCUGCACAGAAAGAUAUUUGAAGAAAAGGCCAAAUUGACAGCUGCCAUGGAGUACAACACCCUUGUACCAGAUUCAGCAAUACCAUCUGCAGAUGAGAUCCUUUCCCCAGACCUUCAUGCAUGACCUUGGGAGCUGCAUGGACAAACUGACCUACUCACAAAGAAAAUAGCCUUUGACCGGGUGAUGCUCCUGAGACAGCUGAAGGAGGAGGAGUUAAUUGUCCUAAAGGAAGUCAAGCAGCACUGGGAAAGCCUAAAGAGGGAAUCGGAGAAUGUGCAAGACCUUGCUUCACAUGUGGCACCUGACCUAAGCAGGCAAAGCUGGCAAUUGAAUCAGUCGGAAGCUGGGAGCAGAGGUCUCUUCUCCAUGCUUCAGAGGAGAGUCAGCAGCCUCAGAAGACACCAGGACUCUGUCAAACUGAUAUACAGCAAAGCUAUGGGCCCAAGACACCUCCCUCCUAGAAAAUAACUUCAUAGAUGACCUCCUGGAAGAGGACCUAGAUGACAUCUAUGACAGCAUCCACUACAGCUCUGAUGACGAGGAAUCUAUCACAGACUGAAGGUGUUCGUUUGGGUGGGUGCAGUUUGCACUGGGUGAAAAGUGAUUCCAUUUGUUUUGCAUAUGUGCUUUAUCUGCCUUCCAAAGGAAAAAUAGUUUGAACAUUUUAUGGAAAAUAAACUUAUGUUUCUUCCUUGUUGACAAUGUGAUCAUGUGACACAGAUUUGAGAAGGGCGCUAGUCUGUUACUGCUUUUGCCCGGUUACAUGACCAGGUCCGAUGCACCCCUUUAAAUGGCCAGUCUGCAGUUGCUACAUCCACUUUUGGAUUCUUGAAGAAUAUAAUUUAUAAAUGCCUCAUGAACAUAGUUCAACUGCCGUACCCCAUCAGAUCUCAAAAUAUAUAUAUAUAUAUAUAUUUACUCCAAUGUGUGUAAACAAAGUAAAUGUAAACAUACACUAGCAUGUGUGAAACUCAUUCCACGGGUGAGCCGAGUGUCUGCAGGUUUUCGCUCCUCCCUUGAUUGAUGAAUUAAGGUCACUAAUUAGUAAGGAACUCCCCUCACCUGGUUGUCUAGGUCUUAAUUGAAAGGAAAAAACUAAAACCAGCAGACACUAGGCUCUCAUUGGAAUGAGAUUGACAUCAAUGGACUAUAGCCUGGAAACAUGGUUUAAACUAUGGUUACAUUUCUCCAGCCCCAUCCCUCUGCUUUUUACAGAACCAUUGGCGGGGAGAACGAUUUAUUGUUUCACCUGCUGAUUUCAGAUUUAAACAUUGUUAAACUGUAAUGUACUGUGCUCGUGUGCUUAUUAGUUUAGUUAAUAAAAAACUAAAACAGGU